rnacentral:lncRNA from 10 species
CUCUUUGUGCCUCUUCCCUUGGGUUCUUGAGGAGCUAGAUUAGGGGAAGACUCCUGAUUAAAGACUGCCUUGGGAGCCAGUCUAUUAGGGAUGCCAAAACAUCACUGGAAGUAUAAAGAGUCAGAUAUGAAACGCUCCCAGGGAGAUGGCUGGAUGUGCUGAAAGAAAUACAAGAGAAGCAUCUUGGGAUGGGUAGGAAUGGGAUGGCAUGGGGAGAGGGUGAAGUGAGCUUCUCAAGGGGCCUCAACCCCCAAACCUGCCUUCUAAGAAGGGUGGGUUCAAAGCCCAAGGUGCUUUGGUUUUGCUAAGUGGGUAUGUGAGUAGGAGUCCUUUGCCUUUUUGCUCCCUGGCUCAGCCUGCCCUCUGAGUAAAAGUUGAACAAAAUGUUAAGAAUCAGUGUGAAACUGUGUUUGAAAGAUUAGGCCAACUAGAAGCCCAUAGGCUUAGCUCUGAUACCACAAACUACCUCAUUAUCUCUUCCUUAUGCUGUUUCUCCCAUCGGUGGUGAGUAGUGGCCCCACCUGUAGGCUGGCAGGUAGGUCCAUGGGAGCCCCUUCCCUUCACUGGUAUGCCGCCCAGCCCUGUCCAGCAGGUGCUACUGGCCUCAUUAUUAAAACUAGGCCCUGGCUCUUCCCUAGACCGAUAAACUCCUCCAGAUCUACUGCCCCAUUGGCAAAUAGAUCAUUGAAGUUGCAUCUGGAACUGAAGGGGAAAUGCCUUACAAGCUCUCUCUAGGUUGGCCAGAGGGCUACAUUGGUAUCUACUUUAUUCAAUAACAAGAUAUUGAGUGUCUUCUGUGUGCAAAUCCCUGCUCAAGGGACUGUAGAAGACUCUGGACUCCUCAUUUUUUAAAAAAGUUGCAGCCAAAUGUACCUAAUGAAGGUGCAUGUCAGAAUCGCAUGGGAAGCUUUUCCAAAUCCCCACGCCAGAGCCAAAUCAGGUUCACAGAUUGGGCCCAGGUCUUUGUGGCAUGGCAAAGUUUAGAGAGUGGCUUUUAUUUAUGCCCUUGGGUGUGAAGCAAUGGGCCAGUGUGAGAGGCAGGGAUGCGUACCAUGAACUAGAAGGCAAGGUGAAGCAUAGCCAUCGCCACAGAGAGAGAUAAGCAAUCUCUCUACUACUACACCCUACUCUCUUUCUACUACUCUCUGAGAGUGUAGACUAGGAAAGAAAGGUUAAUAUUUAUAGAGAAGCAGCCUGGGACAAAGAAGGUAAAGUGUGCCCCAGGGCAUGGCUCCCCAAGAAGCAUAAAUCUGAAGGAUAAUAACAGCUGUUGAUUCUUUGCUCCCACUGAGCACACAGUGAUAGAACACUGGGGUUCAAGACCAGGUUCCUGCCCUCAAGAAGCUUGCAGCCUGAUGGGGCAGGGAGAUAAGACAUUGCAUGUGUGUAACUACAACACAAGGUUGUUUUAUUUUAGAGGGGACAAGCAGAAUCCCACGACAACCCAGAGAAUGUUCUAAUUUGCAGAUUAGGGAGGGCUUCCUGGAGAAGCUGGCCUGUCAGCUAGAACAUGUUCCAGGCCCAGGUGACAGCAUGACAAAUGCCUAGAGGUAGGGUACUGGGGAGAUAUGUGUCUGAAAGAAGGCCAGUGGUGUUUUGGGGUUGGAUCCCAAGCUGCUGUGGGGAGGAGGCUUAGAGUGGAAUAAGAAUGGAAAAGUUGGCUGGCAUCGGAUUGUGGAGGCCUUGAAAGCCUUGCUAAAGUGUAUGGACUUCAUUUGUAAGUAAUGAGGAGCCACUAAGGGUUUUGAAGCACCUGGUGUAAGGGCAGAGAACAGCCUGGUGGGGAAAGAGAGGAGCAGUGGGGAGAUGCCAAGGAAGUGAGGCCCUGUUUCAGGGAUGAAACCAUGGGCAUGCAAUGGCAAGAAUGAGUCAACUCUGAAAGCCACUAGACAGGCAUAGUCAUUUGGACCUGGCUGUGGGAGUUGAGGAAAAGAAAACACAGGCCUCCAAGAGGACUUGAGGUUUGGAGUGUGGGUGGGUGGGGGGAGCUACCACCAUCAACCAAAUAGGAGGAGGACACUUUAGGUACAAAGUGAUAAAUGUGAAGUCAGCUCACUAUCCACCUGGGAAGGAUGAGAUGUCGGAGGAGUCCACCCUAGAUGCCUUCACCAAGGUGGGUGUUCACCAAGGUAGGUGAGCCUUUGGAGCUGGGCUGUUGGCCCCUGGAGGGUAGCAACUGUAUCUCAUUCAUCUUUGUAUUCUCUGAAUAAAUACUUAGUGCAGAAGGUAGCACUUAUUAAAUUCAUUCCUUCAAUCAAAUAUUUAUGAGCUAAAUUUUUAAGGGCCAGUUCGUGGGCUAGGACUUGAAUCCAGGAUACAGAACAUUUCUCCAGUCUAGUUGUGGAUUUUUAGAAUCCAGAUAUCAACAUGACUGCUUAUCUCAGGGUAUGGCGACUUUUGUCUUCCAGACAGCCUCAUCCAGCAGUACCUGAGGAAUACGGAGCCAGGCGCCUCCAAAGUGAAUAAACCAGUAGGGACAACCUUACAGUCAGGGAAGGGAGGCAUUGUCUUGUCAGCAUCGUGCAGUUAUCACAAUGAGCUUUAGGCCCUGUAAAGUCUCCAAGGAAGCACCUUUCCCAGAAUCCUUUCAUGUCUUAGAACCUUCUGAACUAAACAGUGAUUAGAAACACAUGUCUAAAUGAAGGAGCGUGCAAGAUGAACUCAGAGUUCAAGAAAUGUUUUUUUGGAUGGCAGUAUAAAAUUCCCAGGUAGGAAGCCACUUUCCCGCAGAUGAGAGGCUG